UACAUGGGGUGCAAACGUUGCUCGGAAUUAUUGGGCGUAAAGCGCGCGUAGGCGGUUACUUAAGUCGGAUGUGAAAGCCCUCGGCUUAACUGAGGAAGUGCACCCGAAACUGAGUAGCUAGAGUACGAAAGAGGGUCGCGGAAUUCCCGGUGUAGAGGUGAAAUUCGUAGAUAUCGGGAGGAACACCGGUGGCGAAGGCGGCAUCCUGGACCGGUAUUGACGCUGAGGCGCGAAAGCUAGGGGAGCAAACGGGG
rnacentral:rRNA from 1 species